AAUGAACGCUGGCGGCAGGCCUAACACAUGCAAGUCGAACGGAUCCUUCGGGAUUAGUGGCGGACGGGUGAGUAACGCGUGGGAACAUACCCUUUGGUACGGAAUAGCCUCUGGAAACUGGGAGUAAUACCGUAUGUGGUCGAGAGACGAAAGAUUUAUCGCCAAAGGAUUGGCCCGCGUUGGAUUAGGUAGUUGGUGGGGUAAUGGCCUACCAAGCCGACGAUCCAUAGCUGGUUGGAGAGGAUGAUCAGCCACACUGGGACUGAGACACGGCCCAGACUCCUACGGGAGGCAGCAGUGGGGAAUCUUAGACAAUGGGGGAAACCCUGAUCUAGCCAUGCCGCGUGAUCGAUGAAGGCCUUAGGGUUGUAAAGAUCUUUCAGGUGGGAAGAUAAUGACUGUACCUGGAGAAUAAGCUCCGGCUAACUCCGUGCCAGCCGCCGCCGUAA
rnacentral:rRNA from 1 species